rnacentral:RNase_P_RNA from 1 species
GGAGUCGGCCAGGCAAUCGCUCGCUUAGGCGGGAGGAAAGUCCGGGCUCCGGCGGGCAGGGUGCCAGGUAACGCCUGGGGGGCGCGAGCCCACGGAAAGUGCCACAGAAAAGAUACCGCCUGAUCUCCUCUUUGAGGCGCCAGGUAAGGGUGAAAUGGUGCGGUAAGAGCGCACCGCGCGGGUGGCAACACGCCGCGGCACGGUAAACCCCAUCCGGAGCAAGACCAAAUAGGGAAGCGUAUGCCCCGCCCGCGGGUGCUUCCGGGUAGGUCGCUUGAGGUCACCGGCGACGGUGAUCCCAGAUGAAUGAUUGCCCUCGACAGAACCCGGCUUAUCGGCCGACUCCUUUU